rnacentral:tRNA from 2 species
UAGGGGCAUGGUGUCAACGGCAGCACAGCGGUCUCCAAAACCGUUAGUGGGGGUUCGAAUCCCUCUGCCCCUGU